CCGUAACUAUAACGGUCCUAAGGUAGCGAAAUUCCUUGUCGGGUAAGUUCCGACCCGCACGAAAGGCGUAAUGAUUUGAGCGCUGUCUCAACAAUGCACCCGGUGAAAUUGAAAUACCAGUGAAGAUGCUGGUUACCUGCGCCAGGACGGAAAGACCCCAUGGAGCUUUACUCCAGCUUGAUACUGGGAUUCGAUAUUGCAUGUACAGGAUAGGUGGGAGACUGAGAAGUAUUUACGCCAGUAGAUACAGAGUCGCUGUUGGGAUACCACCCUUGCAGUAUUGGAUUUCUAACCAGCAGCCGUGAACCGGCUGGGGGACAAUGUCAGGUGGGGAGUUUGACUGGGGCGGUCGCCUCCGAAAGGGUAUCGGAGGCGCUCAAAGGUUCCCUCAGAAUGGUUGGAAACCAUUCGAAGAGUGCAAAGGCAGAAGGGAGCUUGACUGCGACACCGACGGGUGGAGCAGGUACGAAAGUAGGACUUAGUGAUCCGGUGGUAUAAAGUGGGAUUGCCAUCGCUCAACGGAUAAAAGCUACCCUGGGGAUAACAGGCUUAUCACUCCCAAGAGUUCACAUCGACGGAGUGGUUUGGCACCUCGAUGUCGGCUCAUCGCAUCCUGGGGCUGAAGUAGGUCCCAAGGGUUGGGCUGUUCGCCCAUUAAAGCGGUACGCGAGCUGGGUUCAGAACGUCGUGAGACAGUUCGGUCCCUAUCCGGCGUGGGCGUAGGAUAUUUGAGAGGAGCUGUCCUUAGUACGAGAGGACCGGGAUGGACGGACCGCUGGUGGACCGGUUGGCUUGCCAAAGCCAUGGCCGGGUAGCCAAGUCCGGAAGGGAUAAACGCUGAAGGCAUCUAAGCGUGAAGCCCCCCUCAAGAUGAGAUAUCCCAUCGCGAAAGCGAGUAAGACCCCUUGAAGACGACGAGGUAGAUAGGUUAGAGGUGGAAGUGCAGUAAUGUAUGCAGCUGACUGUUACUAAUCGGUCGAGGGCUUAACCAA
rnacentral:rRNA from 1 species